UGUUCUGUGGUGCAGCUGGUUAACACACUGCCUAGCAAAUUUAGAAGACGUGGGCUCAAAUCCCACCAGAGUUA
rnacentral:tRNA from 1 species